rnacentral:sRNA from 1 species
UUUUAGCCCCGAUAGUAGCGACAUCCUUUUUGGGCGGUGUUCGCCCGAAAAGAUAUAGCGGAUAGCGGGAUUAGCU